CAACAAGGGAUUGUCAGGAAUACAGAUGGACCCAACACGCAGAGUGUAAUAGAAUAUAUAACGUAUACCGAUCCUUAGAGUGGCCAGGAAAACGUAUACAAGGACAGAGAGUAGUCAGGGACAAGCAAUGUCAGGGAAGCCAUAAAUCAGGAAUAGUGAAAAAAACAAUAGCCAAGUCAAAAUAGAAUAUAGAAUAGUCAAUCAAAG